GGGCCUAUGGUCUAGUGGUAUGAUUCCUACUUAGGGUGUAGGAGGUCGCGGGUUCAAUCCCCGCUGGGCCCC
rnacentral:tRNA from 1 species